GUGUCAGCCGCCGCGGUAAUACGUAGGGAGCAAACGUUGUUCGGAAUUACUGGGCAUAAAGAGCUCGUAGGAUGCUUGGAAAGUCAGAUGUGAAAUCCCUUGGCUUAACUGAGGAACUGCAUCUGAAACUACCUUGCUUGAGUGUAAGAGAGGAGAGCGGAACUCUUGGUGGAGCGGUGAAAUGCGUUGAUAUCAAGGGGAACGCCGGUGGCGAAAGCGACUCUCUGGCUUACAACUGACUCUGAGGAGCGAAAGCUAGGGGAGCAAACGGGAUUAGAUACCCCGGUAGUCCUAGCCGUAAACGAUGGAUACUAAACAGGGGUGAUUCCGAUGUCGUCUCUGUUGUAGCAAAUGUGAUAAGUAUCCCGCCUGGGGAGUACGGCCGCAAGGCUAAAACUCAAAGGAAUUGACGGGG
rnacentral:rRNA from 1 species